GUCAGAUAUUUUGGCUGGUCAAAUGGAUAGUAUUACACACUUGUUCUACUUUAAUAGUCAGAAUUCCACAAGGAGGCUUUGUAGUUAUAUUACGUUUAAACUUCAAGUCAAUGCACCUUCUAAUGAAGUUAAUUGUGUCGCCGGUGGGUGUUUUCUGGUCAUCAGUACCAGCGUAUUUACCCCCGCUUCAGUGAGUUUAUCUUGUGUUUAUUGCUGCUCAUACAAGCACCGAAAGGCCUUCUACAGCUGCUGUGGGGCGGUGGAUGUCUGCUAUGGCCGAUGAUACCUCAUUUCAGAUGCCCAGCAGGUGUCGUGUGCUGUUGUGAGUGUGAGUUUCACAAAUUUGGCCUAGCGGAGCAUCACUGCAUGCAAGCACAUGACAGCGCCCAGCUGCAGGGGAGACCCAAAGGACAACAGUAUAAAGUGGUGCAUUUGAAAGCAGAGCUCUUUUCACUGCAGCGUCUCGCUUUGCAAACAUGACACCAGAGGCUCGGGACAGAUGCUGCUCCCUCCAGAACUCCGCGCUCAUCAUUUUAGCCAAGUAGCUGUGACCUGGCGCCGACGCCACAAAACAGGACAAGUAAUUUAAUUUGCCACUGCUGCUGACCUUGAAGCAUUGAAUGUAGGCCGACAGAAUCCCAAUAGGAAAUCUGGAAGAAAAACAUCCUGGGAGCUGAAAUAGCGAUCAGGCUGUUCCGCCUGCAGCAUCACACACAGUCUCGUCACCUCUACAGGGAAACUUUUGUCCUUCAGCUUUGCAUGAAGAAUGUUAAUUUACAGGCCUCCGUCUCUCUCGCCUCCAGUCACGGCCAAUCCAGUAGUGAGCAAGAGCCGGCCUCUGGAGAAAGGGUGAUGAUCCCGACUGAGCUUUUCAUUUAACAAGGAGCUGCAAGGAUUUCCAGAGAACUGCACUGUGGAGAUCAGGAUAAGAGAAAAUAGCGUUCCUAGCUGGCAGCAUCGAGUUUCAGUGGAGCCCCAGGUCAUUAAAGAUAACUUGGCACCAUGUCAGGGCCUGGCUGAGUGGAUUGUGUAAACCAGUCACCCACCAAGGUUAGACACGCUCCUUAUUACACUGUUGUGGUGGACAAUGUGCCUCAGUCCUCUGGAAGAAGUUUGACAUCUACCCACUGAAAGUGUCCCAGCUGACUGAAUAAAUGAGCUCACAAUGUGAGUUAUAGGAAUCACAAUAAAACAUCGACAUGUAAAUGUGCAUGUUUUGACUUUUAGACAUAUGUAAUAUUUCAAACAGAGCGUCCACAUAACAAAUGUUUGACUGUCACCUCACUUGUCUCUCUCUGUCUCUCUCUCUCCAG
ensembl:lncRNA